CUGUAACCUUGGCUGAGUUAGGAGAAUAUACCCGAGUGGUCUCUUUGCUUGAGAACUUGACAAAGGAGAAGCCAAGUGACCCUGAUGUUUUUCGUUUUCUUGGAGAAGUUAAGUAUAAACUAAAGGAUUAUGAGGGAAGUGCUAACGCAUAUGAAAGUGCUGCAAAGGUGUCUAAGUAUCUCAAUUUUGAAGUUCUACGAGGCCGAGCAAAUGCACUACUUGCUGCUAAGAAACCAGAUGAGGUUUGUUCUCACAUUAGUGGAUCACAUUGCUUUUACAACGAUCCUUUGAUAAGAAUGUUGUAAAAAGUAAUAUUGUAGUUUUCUACAUGCAUGUUUCACGAUUUUAUGGAACUUUUUAUUAAUGUUAUGGUUUACUAUGAAUCUGUUAGUCUUACUCUUAUUUUUAGAUCAUUAUAAGUAAGUGUUGUAUUCUCUUCUACUCUGAUUUUCUCUCUUUCAUUUCUGAACUUAAAUGUUUGUUUUGGAAAAAUCACUAUUGCUAUUGCUUAGCUUUUUCUUUUUUAAUAGGCUGAUAGGUCUGAGAUUGUUAUGGCAUUGAAAUUUAACUAGUAAAUGUUUAUCUUUUUUUGCAUUGCUAUUUGCUCAGAGGAAAGAACUCAAUUGGGAUUUAAAAUUCUUUUAAAAUUGAAAUGUACAUAAAUAAAAU